UACGGGGGGGGCAAGCGUUGUUCGGAAUUACUGGGCGUAAAGGGCUCGUAGGCGGCCAACUAAGUCGGAUGUGAAAUCCCCAGGCUCAACCUGGGAACUGCAUCCGAUACUGGAUGGCUUGAAUCCGGGAGAGGGAUGCAGAAUUCCAGGUGUAGCGGUGAAAUGCGUAGAUAUCAGGAGGAACACCGGUGGCGAAGGCGGGUCUCUGGGAAACAACUGACGCUGAGGAACGAAAGCGUGGGUAGCAAACAGG
rnacentral:rRNA from 1 species